UAGCAAUCAGCGAGAUUCCGUGGGUGUAGGACCCUCUGAGCCAGAUUGCUGAUUUGGUCAAGAUGUAAACAUAUCGUAGAGCUCCAGCAUGGGGGCUCACGCCUGUAAUACAAACACUUUGGAAGGCCAAGGUGGGAGAAUCACUCAAGCCCAGGAGUUUAAGAUCAACCUGGGCAACAAAGUAAGACCCUGUCUCUACAAAACAAUAAAAAGUAAAAACUA